rnacentral:rRNA from 1 species
CGUAGGCGGUUUUUUAAGUGAGGCGUGAAAGCCCUGGGCUUAACCCAGGAACUGCGUUUCAGACUGAAAGACUUGAGUACGAGAGAGGUAAGUGGAAUUCCUAGUGUAGAGGUGAAAUUCGUAGAUAUUAGGAAGAACACCAGUGGCGAAGGCGGCUUACUGGCUCGUAACUGACGCUGAGGCGCGAAAGCGUGGGGAGCAAACA